rnacentral:tRNA from 1 species
GGAUUGUGGCUCAGUGGUAGAGUAUUCACCUAGCAUGUGCCAGGCCCUGGGUUCGAUCCUCAGCACCA